rnacentral:rRNA from 1 species
AUUGAACGCUGGCGGCAUGCCUUACACAUGCAAGUCGAACGGCAGCACGGGUGCUUGCACCUGGUGGCGAGUGGCGAACGGGUGAGUAAUAUAUCGGAACGUACCUUAUCGUGGGGGAUAACGCAGCGAAAGCUGUGCUAAUACCGCAUAAGCCCUAAGGGGGAAAGCAGGGGACCGUAAGGCCUUGCGCGAUUAGAGCGGCCGAUACCUGAUUAGCUAGUUGGUGAGGUAAAGGCUCACCAAGGCAACGAUCAGUAGCUGGUCUGAGAGGACGGUCAGCCACACUGGGACUAAGACACGGCCCAGACUCCUACGGGAGGCAGCAGUGGGGAAUUUUGGACAAUGGGGGCAACCCUGAUCCAGCAAUGCCGCGUGAGUGAAGAAGGCCUUCGGGUUGUAAAGCCCUUUUGUCAGGGAAGAAACAGCAGCUCUAAUACAGUAUGCGAAUGACGGUACCUGAAGAAUAAGCACCGGCUAACUACGUGCCAGCCGCCGCGGUAA